rnacentral:rRNA from 1 species
CAUUUUUAGAUUUAAUUAAAAACAACUUCUGCUCAAUGACCUUAAAUAGCUGCAGCUAACGCUGUACUAAGGUAGCACAAUCACUUGCCUUAUAAUUAAAGGAUCGCAUAAAAGAAAAAACGAAUUUUAAACUCUACCAAAAAUUAAUAUUAAAAUUUUAAUAAAAGUAAAAAUACUUUUAAACAUAAAAAAGACGACAAGACCCUAAGAACUAAACUAAAGUUUAACUGGGGCGGUUACAUAAAAAAAUCUUAUUCUACUCACACAAAAAUAAAAAGUUACCCUAGGGAUAACAGCAUAAUUUAUUUCUAAAGUUCUUAUUUACAAAUAAGAUUAUGACCUCGAUGUUGAAUUAAAAAAUCUAUAAAUAUGCAAUAAUAUUAAAAGACAGUCUGUUCGACU